rnacentral:pre_miRNA from 11 species
UGGCCCGUUUUGGCACUAGCACAUUUUUGCUUUGUCCCUUGUUUGUUUGAGCAAACAUGUGUGGUGCCAAUUUAGGACA